rnacentral:rRNA from 1 species
AGCUCUGUAAGCGUAUACCAAAGUUGUUGCAGUUAAAACGCUCGUAGUCGGACUUUGGUGGUUCCGGAAGUGCGCCGCGUCGUGCGGACGCUUCGCGGGGACUGCUUUUGUGGGUUUCAGCGUGGGAUGAGGGCUGUUCAAUCGGUAACGUCCUAACGCGACCACAUUUUACUGUGAGAAAAUCAGAGUGCUCAAAGCAGGCAUUUGCCUGAAUGGAUUAGCAUGGAAUAAUGGAAUAGGACUCUGUCUUAUUUUGUUGGUUUGUUAAGGCUGAGUAAUGAUUAAGAGGGACAGUUGGGGGCAUUUGUAUUUCGGCGCUAGAGGUGAAAUUCUUAGAUUGCCGAAAGACAAACUGCUGCGAAAGCGUCUGCCAAGGAUGUUUUCAUUGAUCAAGAACGAA